AGCGAACGCUGGCGGCAGGCCUAACACAUGCAAGUCGAACGAAGUCCUCGGACUUAGUGGCGGACGGGUGAGUAAGACGUGGGGACGUGCCUUUAGGUUCGGAAUAACUCAGGGAAACUUGUGCUAAUACCGAAUGUGCCCUUCGGGGGACAGUUUUAUCGCCUUUAGAGCGGCCCGAGUCUGAUUAGCUAGUUGGUGAGGUGAAGGCUCAACAAAGCUACGAUCAGUAGCUGUUAUUAGAGGAUGAACAGCCAAAUUGGGACUGAGAUACGGCCCAAAUUCCUACUGGAGGAAGAAGAAGGAAAUCUUGCGCAAUGGGUGAAAGCCUGGCACAGCCAUGCCGCAUGGAUGAUGAAGGUCUUAGUAUUGUAAAAGCCUUUCACCGGUGAAGAUAAUGACAGUAGCCGGAGAAGAAGCCCCGGCUAACUUCGUGCCAGCAGCCGCCGUAACAC
rnacentral:rRNA from 1 species